rnacentral:rRNA from 1 species
GCCAGCGGCAAUAGCAUGGUGAAUGCACGUUCCCAAUGGAUCACUGAACUGAAGCAACGUUGCGCGUGGUUGAUAUCCGGAUGGGUUAACAACUGGGCAAUCGCGAGCUGGUUUUU